rnacentral:rRNA from 1 species
UGGGGAAUAUUGCACAAUGGGGGAAACCCUGAUGCAGCGACGCCGCGUGAACGAAGAAGGUAUUCGUAUCGUAAAGUUCUGUCCUAUGGGAAGAUAAUGACAGUACCAUAGAAGAAAGCUCCGGCUAAAUACGUGCCAGCAGCCGCGGUAAUACGUAUGGAGCGAGCGUUGUCCGGAAUUAUUGGGCGUAAAGGGUACGCAGGCGGUUUAAUAAGUCGAAUGUUAAAGAUCGGGGCUCAACCCCGCAAAGCAUUGGAAACUGAUAAACUUGAGUAGUGGAGAGGAAAGUGGAAUUCCUAGUGUAGUGGUGAAAUACGUAGAUAUUAGGAGGAAUACCAGUAGCGAAGGCGACUUUCUGACACAAACUGACGCUGAGGUACGAAAGCGUGGGGAGCAAACAGG